CCUACGGGAGGCUGCAGUGAGGAAUAUUGGGCAAUGGGCGAAAGCCUGACUCAGCAACGCCGCGUGGAUGAUGAAGGCCUUCGGGUUGUAAAAUCCUUUUCUGGGGGACGAUAAUGACGGUACCUCAGGAAUAAGUCCCGGCUAACUACGUGCCAGCAGCCGCGGUAAAACGUAGGGGGCGAGCGUUAUCCGGAUUUAUUGGGCGUAAAGCGCGCGUAGGCGGCGCUGAAAGUUGGACGUGAAAGCUCCUGGCUUAACUGGGAGAGGUCGUUCAAUACUACAGGGCUAGAGGUUGGAAGAGGAGAGCGGAAUUCCCGGUGUAGUGGUGGAAUGCGUAGAUAUCGGGAGGAACACCAGUGGCGAAAGCGGCUCUCUGGUUCACACCUGACGCUGAGGUGCGAAAGCGUGGGGAGCGAACGGGAUUAGAUACCCUGGUAGUC
rnacentral:rRNA from 1 species